CAUCCUACGGGAGGCAGCAGUGAGGAAUAUUGGUCAAUGGCCGGAAGGCUGAACCAGCCAAGCCGCGUGAGGGAGGAAGGCGCAGAGCGUCGCAGACCUCUUUUGCCGGGGGACAAAAGGCCGGACUCGUCCGGUCCUGAGGGUACCCGGAGAAAAAGCAUCGGCUAACUCCGUGCCAGCAGCCGCGGUAAUACGGAGGAUGCGAGCGUUAUCCGGAUUUAUUGGGUUUAAAGGGUGCGUAGGCGGAACAUUAAGUCAGCGGUAAAAUCGAGGGGCUCAACCCCUUUAAGCCGUUGAAACUGGUG
rnacentral:rRNA from 1 species